rnacentral:rRNA from 1 species
AAUAUUGCACAAUGGGCGCAAGCCUGAUGCAGCCAUGCCGCGUGUAUGAAGAAGGCCUUCGGGUUGUAAAGUACUUUCAGCAGUGAGGAAGGUGGGUAUGUUAAUAGCAUACUCAUUUGACGUUAGCUGCAGAAGAAGCACCGGCUAACUCCGUGCCAGCAGCCGCGGUAAUACGGAGGGUGCGAGCGUUAAUCGGAAUUACUGGGCGUAAAGCGCAUGCAGGUGGUUUGUUAAGUCAGAUGUGAAAGCCCCGGGGCUCAACCUCGGAAUUGCAUUUUGAAACUGGCAAACUAGAGUACUGUAGAGGGGGUAGAAUUUCAGGUGUAGCGGUGAAAUGCGUAGAGAUCUGAAGGAAUACCGGUGGCGAAGGCGGCCCCCUGGACAGAUACUGACACUCAGAUGCGAAAGCGUGGGGAGCAAACAGGAUUAGAUACCCUCGUAG